GGCCGGAUGGGGUCACCUCGGCCGGGGGGAUCCACAGGGGGACGUGUGUGCUUUAGCACUGCUGUGUGGGACCCAGCUGCUUCGUGGGACGAGUUUGUCCCGGGACUUGAGGCUCUCUGGGAUCGUGUUUCAUGGAAUGAAGCUCGCGCUGCGUUCCCAGCUGCGGUGACAACGUUUUGUGGGAUGGGCUGAGCUCUGUUUCCCGGGAAGCAGCGGGAUGGGUGUCCCUGUGCCCACCCCCGUGGGUUGCCCAGAGAAGCUGCUCCUGUGGCUACGGCCGAGGGUCAGUGGGAAAACCUGAACAGUCCUGAUGGAAACGAUGGAAAAACAAGUUUGGUUUGGUUGUGGACUUGGCAUUUUCCCCCUGACCCCGACCUGAUCUAGGUGUUUUGCCUUAGGGAACAGGAGACAGAAGGGGAAAUGGAGAAAAAGAUAAUUCAUUACCUCAACAGGGACAAGCUUAUUUCUAUUUGCUCCCUGAUGCACCUGGAAUGAGUUGGGUCUCAGGAGGCACCUGGGAGCCUCCUUUUGUGUCCUGGGUGUGGCCGUGGCUAUAAAAGGGGUAAAGGAUGGAGGAGGGGCAGUGGCUGGGAUCAGUGGUGCCCUGCGGAUUUGCAUCUGGAAGCGGCCGCCAGUUUCCUGAUGAGAGUCCUGGAAACAGAACUCGAAGUCUGUAAGAAGUGCGAAUACUGUAGCUGGAGUGCUGAGAAUGGAGGAUCUUCAGAGAAUGUUGUCUGGGCAGCGUCUGACCCCAGGUCUCAGGGACUGCAUGGAGAUUCCUCUGGAGCAGGGUCACUCUGUGAGGAUGAGCCACAGAGGUUCAGUUCUUGGAGCAGCCUCCAGAGGACUGGACUGGGCUGUGGGAAGCAGGAACAGAGAGGCAGCUCUUCCUGGUGUUACCAGGAGGAAAGGAGAGAGGACAGUCUGCUGAUCCGGACUUCAGCUACAGACUGCACACCUCUUCACCCUUCGGCUACCCGUGUGCCACGAAGUCUCCAGGGACAGACUCUGCAGCCCUCUCCCCCUUCGGCUACCUGGAAAAAGCUACAACAGCGGGGGCGAGCUCCGUGUCGAGCCCCCUGCCCAGCCGAUCUUUUUAAUAAAGAGCUGAACACUAAUAAAGUCAUAAGCCCUGUUCAUUUUGCCUGGGCUGUUCCCUGGGAAGUUUUACGGAGGAUAUUGUUACAAGGUAAAUUCAUGGUCCUUCAUGUGGAAAGUUCUACUUUUGUGUCAAAAAGCCUUGAGAAUGCCCAGGAAUACAGUGUGACAUGUUUGACCUCUGAAAUGGGUCCUAUUUGGUAUAAAAUACCCAUUUUUUAGUGGUUUGUGUUUUUUCUGACCUUGGAGGAGUGUGGGGCUGACUAGUCAGGUUGGUGUCUGAGAAGGGGAAGGUGUCUGGGUUCCAGCAGCACUCCCAGGGCUGCUGCUCUUGGGUGUGAUGCAGAACACAGCAAUAUUCCUGCUGUGCAGAUGUGGAAGGGAGUGGAACAGCAAGUGGCAAAACUGGGCUUUGCUUCUUAAAUCCCAGAACAGCUGGGUUUAAGUUCCAUCAGCCAGAGGAGGGAAUGAGCCCUGGUGCCAGCCCUCCUGGGGGCACUGGACAGGUCUCACCAUUUCUCUGCCAUCAUUUGCAUGGUGUGAUUCUCCCUUGAGCAGAGAGGGCAGAAAAUGAGGCAGGAGGGGGAGCUCAUUUUGUUUCUGUGAGCUCCGGGCUUGGGGCAGCUGCAGAGCACUUUGGGUUCAAAUAAUCCUGCCCAAAUACAUCAGCUUGGACCUCUCUUGGGCACUUUUGUAUCCCUCUGUGCCACUCCUCCUCUGAUCUUUUACCUGCGAGGUGUGGGCUCAGAAACAUCUGCCUACUGGACAGGUUUUUACACGUACAAAUUUAUUUUCUUAGAAAAUACAUCAGCUGUAAGGAAAAUCCAUGGAAAACAGGUGGUUGGUACACUAGGUGAUGGUAGGUCUUGGGCUUUUUUUCUUCUGUUCUUUAACCUGCUCUUAAGAGAACCCCUAAACUGGAAAACUGAAAGUGUGUGGAUGGGGGGGAAGUUGCUUUUCAUUUUUUAAAUAUUGCUGUGGGUUUUGGUAGGUCAAGUGGCCCUACCAAAACAGAAUUGGAAUAAUUGAACUUCAGGACUCUGCACUUAAUUCUUUUAAUGUUGUUUGUGUGGGUGCAGGAAAUGCCAAAUCCCAGAGCAAUUCUGUGUCUGUAACAUUAAGUGCAACAUCUUUAAAACCAAGUGCUCAGUAUGGGCUUUUCACGUGGAUGCAAAAGGUCUAAAAGCCUUUCCUGUGCCCUGAAAGCCAAAAGGAGCCUGCCAGAAACAGGCCUUCAUUGCCUGUCCGGGAUUUCAAUUUGCUGCUGGAGUCUUCUCUCGGGUUUUUGUGCCAAAGGGGAUCUGGCCCUGGAACCAUAGAGGGUGUCUGUUGCCUUGGACAGGAAAAAUCGUUAAACUCCUCCCAUCUUUGCCAGAAGCUUCGGUGUUUAAGCAGCCAAAGCCAAGAGUCUUCAGCACCAGGGCUCUGUGUUACUAUUGGACAUGAAAUGAGUACACAGAAGCUUGGGCAACAGGUCUGCGCUGGAGGGCUCCUGGUCCUGCCCACGCUGUGGGGCCAGCAGGAACAAGGGGGAAUGUGGUGCCAGAGCUGUGUUCUGUCGGGCUGCGCUUCCCUCUGAGGACAGAGUCUGGGCUGAGGUGAGAUUGUUGUGAGUGCCUGCAUGAGCAAUCCAGGGAACUCGGAAUUGCAUCCGCUGCUGGGAACACUGCCUGAGGUCUGCUCAGUUUGUGUCUGUGAGGAGUGGGAUUUGGGCUGCAGAGGUGCUGUUGGCACAAAAACCAGAGUAAAUCCUCUCCCGGGAUGAGCAGUGAAGGACAGUGUAGCAGGGAAGGGGAGUAUUUACAAAGUAUGUCAAUAUUUCUCCCAAAACUGAGAGAAAUGGGGUGGAACAGAGAUGGGGGUGGUUUGGUUUUUUUGUCUGGGCCUGUUAUUCCUUGUGCAAGGUUUUAAAUCUGUUGUAUGAUUUACUCUCCAGUAUCUUUCUAACAAAAGAUGACUGAAAUUUAGUUUCGGGGUUAGAAGUUGGGUCCAUUCACUGCAAAGUCUUGCCAAGGCUGGAGGACUGGGGUGAUGGCUGCUCUCAGCAAAGGUUACUUUACUAAUACUGUGUCAGAUUUCCCUCAGUGCUGGGCAGGAAAGGUGAGGGUUUGGAUCAGGAAUUCUGCAAACAAGGCCUGUGUGAUGUUGGUUGUGGAGUUGUGUUUUUUAUGUUUUAUUACAUUUGUGUUAUGUAUAGGUUUGUUCCAUGUACCCCCGGUUCUAUAAUGGUUUCUCCCCGGGUUUUCCCGCCUUUCCCCCGUGUGUCCGUUAUCCCCAAAAGUGCUAAGUCAUCCCCCUGUUUACCCCAGAUGCCUGUCCGUCACUCUGUGUCCCUUCCCAUCCACCUAGAAUCUUCCAUCCGGGACACCGGGUGAUUGGUAAAGGACCUGGGACCCUUCCCCUGUCUAUCCUUCAUUGGAUGUACCCCCGUAUCACACCACCCUCGAACCCCUCCGCAGUUUUACCCCAUUGGCUGUUUGGUUUUCCCCGAUUCCGUAUUUAGUUCAUUUGCGCGGUUUGUUUCAUGCUUUCUUCUGGUGGGCUCCAGCGCACUCCACCCUGCCCGCGCCUUUCCGGCAAACCCCAGCGCGGCACGCCUGGUCCCCUUCGAGUUAUUGUAUUCCCCGUUGGAUUACAAUAAACGGAAUUCGCCCACAGAGAAAGACUCUCCUCGUAAUUCGCCGUGGGGUCGCUGGCUGCUCUCUGGAACUCCAAUAGCGCUUCCCAAAGCCCGCGAGGGUCCAGCGGGAAGCGCUAGAAACCUGCCCGCACCUCUCCCCUGAAGAGCUAGCCGGGGCUGAGGAAGGGCAUCGGGGAGAGAAGCGUCGGCAGUUGGUUGUUAUAAAUUAAAAUUUGUCCAGCCAAAUUAAUAUAAAAAAUAAAAUAUUUAUUUUGCAAU